CAUUGAAUACCGCAGAGAGGUGCAUCCUAUCGCCACCAGAGGGCCUCAGCGAGAUGAUGGCUGCUGGGCAGUGCCACAGCCGGGGUGGACUUCACCCAUCCAUCCCUAAGUGUACCGGAGGACCAGAAAGAACCUGCAAAGAGUGAGAGAGAGGAGUCAACCCAGACAGGAGUCACAGCACAGUCCCACGGUGUACUUCCUCCACCCUACCUCUUCAACAAAGCUCCCUGGUAGCAUGGCGUGAGUAAAAUUACAGGUCCUAGGCUUUUUAAGUUUUAUUUUUGUAUGUGUGUGUGUUCAUGGGUACAUGUUACCUUUCUAAUUACACCUGCAUCACUCAGCUGCCUCUACCUGGAUGAACCCUCCCUGCCCCUUUUCAAUAGCAGCAGCUGGCUGAAUCUGUUAUGCCUCGAGGUAAAGCGCCUUGUGGCUUCAACAGCCUCUGACCACGCCAAGAGGAGCGUGCUACACACACUUGUGCUAUGGAGGAGAGACAUUGCCACCACCUGAGCCCUGCAGAACUUCAGUGAGGUACAGAGUCUGGGCCAACAUGUAGCUCCAACAGAACUCCUUACAUUUGUAGUGAUUAGUGCCAGUGCUGAGGCAUUUGGGGAUUAAUGGCCAGAUACAUUCACUCACUCGGCCUCCCAGGUGGCCUUUCUUUUGGAAUUCAGGCACCUGUUAGUAAGAGCAAGUGUUCCCGCAGCCUUGGUGGUCAGAGGUGAUAUACUGGUUGAAAUUCUGGCACCCAGCUGUUUUCUGAUGUACAAAAAGAACCAUUUCAUUCAGUUGGGUUCCCCAAGAGGCAAGGCCUCCAAGGGUAAGGGAAAGGGUUGGGACACCUGAUGGUCAAUAAAGGCCCACAUAAGCACCCUGGGCACUCUCCUGCCUUCAUGAUCCAGAGCCAAGGCUGAGCACCACUCAGGCACCCUGGACUGAGGCAGUACCCACCCUUGCUUCCUGGGUCUCCAGGUUAGGCCAGCAGUGAGAUGGUCAUUUCUGUCACUGUCCACUCUUCCUAAGGAGUCCCUCGGUAUGUUCACACUGUCUAAGAAGCACUGGUCAGAUUAGGUAAAGAAGCCAGUCUGUGUUCCUACCCAAUGGACAGGAGGAAAAGGGGUGUCUCAUGGCUGCCAAUCACAAGCAAACUGGCUUGAGGGCACAGACAGCAGGAGAGACAGGGAUCCUGAUGUCUCCAAGUCUCCUGUUGUGAGAGAACUUUCAUCUUUGAAGCCACACUGAGUUGGGGCUCUGGCUUAUCACAGACAGGCACCUGACAGGAGAGCACAGCUCUCUGAGUGAUGUGCUCAGCCCCAGCAGAACGAUGCUGCACCUAUAUCCCUGUGACACCCCUCCUUCCCAAUCUCCUUAGAAACCGCAUGACACAGCAAACCAGUUACAGAGCAUCAGCAGCUUGACACCAGUGCCAUCUGCUGGAGAGAAGUGGGACUGCAGGAGAAAGCCAGAAACUUGGGUCAGACCCUGGGGGAAAGAAGGGACACAGGACUUGGCUGUUUCUGGACCCUCAGAAGAUGGAAGGUAUUUCUAGUUAGAUGUGAGCAUGCUGUGAAGACCAAAGGAGACACCCACCCUCUGGGCUCCAAGUGCCCUGAGCUUCCUAACAGACAGGCUCUGGGUGGCAUGAGGGUCUGUGAUGGACAUUUCACAUGAAGAAAGAAGAGCUUAUCUGCCUGUUUCCAGCUUGGGCAAGGCCAUCCAAGUACAUCCAUGUACAUCUUAAAAUAAGAGCCCUCCAGCCAGGCCCUGCUCAGUGUCUUAGCAUAUGUGGCACCCAAGACAAUCACACCUAAAACAAAACCCCUGCCUG